rnacentral:rRNA from 1 species
UUAGAGUUUGAUCCUGGCUCAGAAUGAACGUUGGCGGCGUGGAUUAGGCAUGCGAGUCGUGCGCGAACUGUAGCAAUACAGGGAGAGCGGCGAAAGGGAGAGGACAACGUGGGAAUCUGCCCUCGGGACGGGGAUAGCGGCGGGAAACUGCCGGUAAUACCCGAUAAUAUCUUUGGAUCAAAGGUGUGAUUCCGCCCGAGGAUGAGCCCACGCCCUAUUAGCUUGUUGGCGGGGUAACGAGCUACCAAGGCAAUGAUGGGUAGCUGGUGUGAGAGCAUGACCAGCCUCAUUGGCACUGAGACACUGGCCAGACACCUACGGGUGGCUGCAGUCGAGAAUCUUCGGCAAUGGACGAAAGUCUGACCGAGCGACGCCGCGUGCGGGAUGAAGGCCCUUGGGUUGUAAACCGCUGUCGUAGAGGAACAAAGGUAUGUGGGUUCUCCCAUGUAUUUGAGUGAUUCUAGGAGGAAGGAGAGGCUAAGCUCGUGCCAGCAGCCGCGGUAAGACGAGCUCUCCAAACGUUAUUCGGUAUCACUGGGCUUAAAGAGUUCGUAGGCGGCUUGACAGGUGAGGUGUGAAAGCCCACGGCCUAACCGUGGAAUUGCGCUUCAAACCGUCGAGCUGGAGGGAUGCAGGGGUAUGCGGAACAGAUGGUGGAGCGGUGAAAUGCGUUGAUAUCAUCUGGAACACCGGUGGCGAAAGCGGCAUACUGGGCAUUUUCUGACGCUGAGGAACGAAAGCUUGGGUAGCGAACGGGAUUAGAUACCCCGGUAGUCCUAGCCGUAACGAUGAGCACUAGUCUGGGGGGACCCAUAUAUCCUCCCGGACGUAGCGAAA